rnacentral:rRNA from 1 species
UAGGGAAUCUUCCACAAUGGACGCAAGUCUGAUGGAGCAACGCCGCGUGAGUGAAGAGGGGUUUCGGCUCGUAAAGCUCUGUUGUUAAAGAAGAACGUGGGUAAGAGUAACUGUUUACCCAGUGACGGUAUUUAACCAGAAAGCCACGGCUAACUACGUGCCAG